CAAGACAAAUACGAAUAUACAGAUAAACAUAUAUUCAGAAUGAGAAAAUCACGAUUUGAAUUUGUUCGAUAUCAUUUGGCUCAUUGCCAAGUUACGUGGUAUGGCACCUUGCAUAAAGGAUGUUAAUAAUGAAAAAAAAUCAAUAUUAAAAAAUCAAUAGUCUUUGCCUUGUUUUUGUAGGAAUACCUGUUCAAGGUAUGAAAAUAGAUGAUGUGACGUAUUUUCAUGUACUACAAUUAG
rnacentral:lncRNA from 1 species